rnacentral:rRNA from 1 species
GACAGAGGGUGCAAACGUUGUUCGGAAUUACUGGGCGUAAAGCGCACGUAGGCGGAUGUGCCAGUCAGGGGUGAAAUCCCGGAGCUCAACUCCGGAACUGCCUCUGAUACAGCACGUCUUGAGUUCGAGAGAGGUGGGUGGAAUUCCUAGUGUAGAGGUGAAAAUUCGUAGAUAUUAGGAAGAACACCGGUGGCGAAGGCGGCCCACUGGCUCGAGUACUGACGCUGAGGUGCGAAAGCGUGGGGAGCAACAGGG